rnacentral:rRNA from 1 species
ACGGCUCAGUAACACGUGGAUAACCUGCCCUUGGGUCCGGCAUAACCCCGGGAAACUGGGGAUAAUUCCGGAUAACGCACAUAUGCUGGAAUGCUUUAUGCGUAAAAUGGAUUCGUCUGCCCAAGGAUGGGUCUGCGGCCUAUCAGGUAGUAGUGGGUGUAAUGUACCUACUAGCCAACAACGGGUACGGGUUGUGAGAGCAAGAGCCCGGAGAUGGAUUCUGAGACAUGAAUCCAGGCCCUACGGGGCGCAGCAGGCGCGAAAACUCUACAAUGCAGGCAACUGCGAUAGGGGGACAUCGAGUGGCAUCCACCUUGGGUGCCUGUCCAACCGUCUAAAAAACGGUUGUUAGCAAGGGCCGGGUAAGACCGGUGCCAGCCGCCGCGGUAAUACCGGCGGCUCGAGUGGUGGCCGAUAUUAUUGAGUCUAAAGGGUCCGUAGCCGGCUUUGCAAGUCCCCUGGGAAAUCCAGCGGCUUAACCGUUGGGCUUUCAUGGGAUACUACAUUGCUUGGGACUGGGAGAGGUAGGAGGUACUCGGGGGGUAGGGGUGAAAUCCUGUAAUCCUCCGGGGACCACCGGUGGCGAAGGCGUCCUACCAGAACAGGUCCGACGGUGAGGGACGAAAGCUAGGGGCACGAACCGGAUUAGAUACCCGGGUAGUCCUAGCCGUAAACGAUGCCCGCUAGGUGUCACGACGGUCGUGAAUCGUCGUGGUGCCGUAGGGAAGCCGCGAAGCGGGCCACUUGGGAAGUACGGCCGCAAGGCUGAAACUUAAAGGAAUUGGCGGGGGAGCAC